rnacentral:lncRNA from 1 species
GUCAGCAGUGUGUGGACACUGGAAAAGGCUCCAGAGAGGGCAGAGGAGGGGGAAAAGGUCCCCACAUCAGGGUCAUGGCCAGGUUGUCCUGAUCUGGCCCAGAUCCGUGAGGCUGGAUCCAAAAGGAGAGGCCAGCAUGGGAUGCAGCUGAGCAGGCUGCUGUCCAGUGCCUAAUAGGGCCAGGACACCUCAUCUUACCAGCAGAACAAUUAGCCUUUAUUUUGGUAAGAAUUUAGAAAUGCUGCAUAUUUUGCUUUUGCUUUUCCAGUACCUAAUAUCCCCUGUUUAAUGACAUUCCUUCCAAAAUAAAAGAGUCACAGUGCAGCACAGCGGGUGGCUGGGAGGUAGC